AGCUGUCACCAGCAGCAUAUUGUAUUCUCCCUCCUAUCUUGAACCAGUUCAGUCUCAAGACUGCUUUCUCAACCUCAGCAUGUUUUCUCCUGAGUUGAUGUCCCCUAUUGUUUUAUUCUCACCUCCUAAUGUAUUUUUUUAAUAAUUUCACACUUGAGUGUACAGGGAAAUGGUGUGGGUUUGAAGUGGGGCUAACAGUCCACACACAGGCAGCUCAAGGAAGUCAAAACCAAUAGUGAUAAACCACUAAAUUUUGGAUGUUAUAAAAGGUAGUCUUCAUUCUGCAUAUUUAAGGCUAAAUUCAAAUCUGGCAUAAGCAGGUUGUCAUGUAAAUAAUAUUUUGAUAUUUGAAAUGCAGUUACAUGAAAGACUUUUUGUUAAAUCCAGUUUUGUAUAUUCAGGUGUAAUUGUACCGUUACCUAGUUAUGAGUGCACCUUUGGCAUGCUCCAAUUCAUACAUAACCAUUUGGACAACUCAGUAAAGGCAAAUUGUACCCCGCAGGAUGAAAACCUUAUUAAUAUGAUUGCUGUUAAUUACUACUGUUAGCUUUCCAUCAGAGAUCAAACCUCUCUCACACUAAGUACCUUCAAAAUACCUGAAUUCGUUAUCUCCUAUAUUUUAUGAUGGAGGUACUCAGGACCUCCCAGAGGCAGCCUGUAAAGCCCUAAGCUACAAAUGAACUGUUGUCUUCCUUCCUGAGGUGACCAUGUUUUUUGAGACAGAGAAAAAAAAAAAAACAAAAAAAAAAAAACACUGAUGAAGCGAUUAGUCACUGGCUCUAUUUGCUUGUUUCGGAGGUAGUAGCAAACUCUGCAGUAAAAUGACAGCUAAUCAUCUGAUUCUUUUCAUUUUGACGCUACAAGUUAGGAAGAGUGUUAAUGAAAAAAAACCAGCAAUUAGCUAAGGUGCAUUACAUUUUUGCAUUGCAGUUUUUUCUAGCAAUGAGUUGUUUCUAGCAAUCUUUUUGGUCAUCCUUCUCUAUGUUUUUGGCAAGUAAAAAACGCGCCCAACUGUAAACCCUAGGAGGAGGCUAAUGAAACCUGUGUGAAAUGAGUUGCAGUCAGAACCAUACCGCAACAGAAGAAGAGCAUACAGAAAAUAAUCAUCCUCUCCAUGCUGAUGAGUUUUGUUUUAAAAUGUGUUAGGAGCAAAGUUGUGCUAUCCAAGAUGCUUGAGCUUGAGCUAUGCUCAGGUGUAUGUAUGUGAGCUUGUGCGUAGGGGGCAGGGAUUGAUGGAGUGAAUGAAAAUGUGCCCCAUCUGCACAUUGGACAGGAAAAAAAGACAAAAGGGUGAAUUCCCAUUUUCGCUUUGAGUCAAGAAAUGAACGUAGUAAAAAGCCCAGGAACUGUCAUGUCAUACCACGCUAGGGCACUUCUGUAGUACAGCAAGAUAUGGUGAGGGCAGAGCAGCAGCGUGAGAAUGCACUGGAGGAUGUGGUCUACCUUCCCUUGAAGUGACUCCACGUACCAGUUGCAGGCCAGCUUCUAUGUACACCACUGCGAUGAGUGCUGUGAGCCACUGGAUCAGGCAUCAGAUGCCGUUUACACUUCAGCUCCUGCAGCAGAAAAGACACUUCAUUGUCAUGUGCCAAAGAGAAGGCUGAGACCAGAGCCACAUCUGCAAAUCUCCGGAUCUAGCAAUGCAAGUGCUUUCUUCAGCAGCAAAGCCAUUUAAAUAACUUGCUACUCCAGGUCACCACCACUGUUGUGGCUCUUCGUCACAGUAUAUCGCACUGUCAGGAGCAUCUGUUAAAGCUGCUUGGAUCAAUGAAAUGAUCCAGGUUAAAAAUCCCUCUUGGAAACAGCUUGAGAGUUUGUUUUGCUUUGUUUUAACCAAAAUCAUUUCACUAUCAAUUCUACUUUCUCCUUAGCACAACUGGCAGAUUUACAAGCAGCAGUGAGUUGCUAGAAGUCAGAAACUCCUCUUCUACUGGCUCUGUUGCUGAUCAAAACCAUGGAUCGCCUACGCAACAAGUGCCUCCUUAGCACACAAAGCUGAGGGGGCCAGCAAGUAUCACUGAGCAACAGCAUUCCAGGAACAGCACUUCAGUGCCAGUGCAAACAGAAUUAAGUCCUUUAGUUGUGGCUGAAGUAUGGUUUCUGACAAAAUCAUUUCAAGGAAGAGGAUUUAGGAAAUCUUAAACUCUGCAGACUGUUCUGUAUUUAAAAAUUGCAGGUGUAAUUUUCUCACUCAGGCAGGUAUUGUUGGUUUGCUGAUUUUUUUUUUUAGAUUUUUUUUCCCGUUGGCAGUUACACCAAUAAAGUCUCCGAUGUGGUUGCAACUAUACCAAUCUAGAAUUAUAUAGAAUAGAAUUACUAGAGUAGAAUAGAAUUAUUAUCUGUAUAUAGUCUAGAAUGCUAACUGUCCUGUUUCUCUUAUAUGAAUUAUUCUGUGAAUAUAAUGCACCUUGUUAUGGCUUCAUACUUAAACAGUGAAAUAGCAGAUUUAUUUACAGGAGGUUAGGGAAUGCUCAGAGCUAACUGCCUCAUACAGUCCUUAACAGAAAAAACUUAAAUGCAGUAUCUCUGAAAUAAGAAGCUUCUCUCACUAAACUUUUUCAGAAGCCUUUCUCUCUGCCUUCAUCUAUAACCUGACAGAACAAACAUGAAUGUAUGCGCCUGCAUCCCCAGAUAUAUCUUUCAUACGCACACAUCAAGAAAUGUAAAAAGCUACACAGCAUAGUUGCUUUGCAUAAUGAGUUUCAUUUUUUUUCACAGGUCAGCACCUUAAGCGAACCUUGGAAAAACUAUUGUGUGAUCAGUCAUCGCACUGAAGCAGCAGCACCCGUUCGGUAAAGGCAGUCUUGGAUAAAAAGCUGAAUGCUGUGGUUUCAGUGACUUAUCGUUGAAACCUUGUGGUUUCUGUGUAGGAGGUUGUACAAGCUGGACACGUUUGACAUCCUUGUUUCUGAGCUGUGAAAUCUGUACAUCUAAUUUAUGAAAAUUAACUCUGGUUUAAUUUUAUUCUUUUUUUUAAUGAAGUCAACAUAUUUUCCCUGCAUUCAGUGGAAACAAUAAUGGAAAUGUUUUAAGAUAUACUGUGAACCUGUUUUGACCUUGAAAGGGAGGAGAAUCAAGAUAUUCUUGAUUAUGAUUAAGGUCUAAGAAGGAAAUAAAAAAUAUAGAGAGUUUCAGGUGAGAAGAAAGUAUUUUUCAAGUGUGGAGAUAAAUAGAGAAAUUAGCUAUGGGAAGUCACAUAGACAUUAUGAAACAAAAAUCUCCCAAGUUGAGAAUAUGAUUUGGAAAAAAAAAUCAUUAAGAUAAUUUAGAGUAAAACGUGGUACUGGUACUAUUUAGGAUAACCUGCAAUAUCUGUGGGCUUUCAGAUGGUCUAAACACACUAGUAAAUUUAUACACAAGGCAAAUGCAAGACUAACGGAUCUGCAGCAGUAGCAGUUGAAAUCACACACACACAAACAUAAUUUAUCACUAGAUCAGUUAAUGUGCUUUUUUCUUUCCCAGUUCAGUUUAAUGCUCAUUCCGGUGAAUUGAUCCAGUUCUUUGCCAGUUGAAGUGCACUAAUGUUGGUGCAAAGGACAAAGCAGGUAUGCACAGCUGGAACUGGAAGAAGAGGAAAAUGUAUUUCUUGGCUUCUCUGUGCUGCGUAGUUGUAGAAGAAGCGCGCCAUGUCUGCAUUGCCAAACUGGAAUUGUGAGAGUCAUGGACCCACCUGCAUUCCCGUCUCUUCCUUACUUGUCUGCUGCCUUCUGCUCUGCUGAGCACCUACCAUCAUGUAAAUCCCCAGAAAGCUGAGCUGUGACAAUAAUGGAUACCCAAGUUUGUAAUACUGGCAAAUCAUAUUCCCUUCUCUGGCAUGAGCAGCAGAGCCACACCGACUAACAGCAAGUUUUGCCUCUGUCAGGUAAGUUCCCAGAAGCACAUACACCAUUCCUUGUGCCCAAACACGGUAAGUGAAUCUAUGGAAACGUAUUUAAAAUGAUCAAAAACCUGAUCAAAGAACUAUUUUCUGAAUAUAAAGCAAAUGUGAAGAAGAAGAACAUGCAAUGUACAAAACAAAGUUUCUUGCUAAAAUGUAAAAAAAUUGGCUACCUAGGUGAAAAAUACCUACUCAAUUUGUUUGUGGAAGUACAAAAAUCUGUCUGGAAGUGUUCGUCAAAGAUUAUAUAAUACUUCUGUGUAAGCAGAGAUUGAAAGUGUGACCACCCACUAUCAAUUCAGUUCAGGGAGGACUGGCAAGAUUCAUAGUACUAAUUUUAAGUAAUUUCUAUAUGGAAACAUCAAUAGAAAACAAUAGAUUUUAAUUGGUCCUGGUCAUUGCUCCUCCUGAUGGACCUGUUCCUUUUCAUAAAGG